rnacentral:rRNA from 1 species
UAGGGAAUCUUCCACAGUGGGCGCAAGCCUGAUGGAGCAACGCCGCGUGAGUGAAGAAGGUCUUCGGAUCGUAAAACUCUGUUGUUAGAGAAGAACAUGCAGGAGAGUAACUGUUCUUGUAUUGACGGUAUCUAACCAGAAAGCCACGGCUAACUACGUGCUAG